UCCCAAGUCUCAGCUGGUAUGCCAGGGCCAUUCGCACUUCCUGCUUGAAUAACAAAGUCUGCCCUGCAAUCCAGUGUCUCCCCUUCCACCCAAUGGCUGCUUCUAAAUUAGAGCCUCUAGAAAAAUAUGUACCAAUUAGCACGGGCUACUUGACAUCUAAGCAUCACAGAUGCCAUAGGUUGGUUGGUUGGGUCUUUUUCCCUUUGUUUUAUUUAUUUAUUUUUUUCUCAGUAUAAUGAGUAGCUCCACCUUCACUUGCCACAGUAUGUGAAACUGGGAUGAGAGAAGACACACUCAGAAGACAGGGGAUGGAUGGCUGGCCCUAACUUCCCUCCCACUCUAGGUAACACAGCUGCAGCUCAGGAAUUUCAGGCAGGAUGCUUGGCAUAAGUAGGUAAUUGAGUUAAGGGAGAUCUAAAGAAAGACUUCACGUUCACAUUCAUAUGCUAAACUCAGUUAAAAAUAGACUUAAGAAGGCCCUGACUUCACUUUUAAUUUUAGCCUGGUGAUGAACAUGCCCUAAAGACAGAAAGUCACCAGGCAUUUUCCUAGGUGCUGUGAUCUUCAUAUUUUUAUAAAAAGGAAAUGCAGCAUGUUCUAUUAAUAAAAGUGCUGUAGCCUCAGUUAAAUCUGGACAGUUCGUAAAUCAGGAAUCCCUCUGGCUGAGCUUCCCUGGGCCAGCGGCUAGCUCACACACAAGCCCCCAGCAAGUGGGCAGGUCACCUGCAGUGGGGGACAGUGAGCCAGAUACCCAGGGGUCAAAGGCCACCCUGGACCAAGGGCCACAAAGUAUGACUCCUGGAUACUUCCCAAGUGACCAAGUGACUCACCAUGCACAUUCACCAGAAACUCUUAAAGGGCUCAUGAAAGAUCCAACUGUCAGGAUGGAGCUGUGUGUGUCAUGAUAGAAGGAGGAAAACAGUCUCAAAGGUGAAGUUAACGUUGGCCUCCAGCUACCUGGCUGGACUUUGCUAUGGACCCACCAAAAGAGGAUGUUCUCCAGCUGCCCUCAACUAUCAAACCACAUAACAAAAUAAAACACAGCCUGGUAGAAAAACUACCAUCUUCAGAGUGCUGAGCCUCCUCACCCAGGCAAAAUGGUAAUUCCAAAUUUAGUCCCUGACAGAUGCUGAGGACACCAAGAUUCAAGACACUGACCCCACACACAAGGACUUUAUGGGGUGCUUAAGGGAGACCAACAAGAGAACAAGAGGGUUGUUGGAAGAUUAAAUGGGGUGAUCUAGGUGGAUAAAGGCCCAAUGAACCCUACAACAUGGCAGGAAUACAGUAAAUUCACUCAGAGUCCUGUACUGCUGCAUCUGUAGACACUUCAUCACCAGCAGACUUAAAACUACUCUCACAGGCAUGAACGUGUUCUCUGCUGCCUUAACUUCUCUGUUAGCUGAGUGGCCUUUGGUCAGUCUGAUCUCCCAUCUGGACCUAGUUGUCUCUUCUACAAAAUGAGGGAAUUGAACUGGAUGAUCUCUAGGUCCCUUCCAGCUUGAAGCUGCAGUAUUGCUGUCUUAUUCAUCUGUGUCCCUACUUUCAUGGUAAUUAGUAUUUGUCAAAUGAAAAAUUAUUGAAAGAAGAUUCAUCAACAGAAGAAAAAAAAUAAAUUAACCAAGCUAAUGACUGACUGACCCUGACAACUAAGAUAAAAAAGUGUGUGUACUUGAAAUGCCUUAAAGGCUCAUACUGACAUACUCCAUUCAGAGACCCACUAAUAAAAAUUCAAAGGUGUGUUCACCCAAAAAUGAUUCUUAUGUAUAAUAUCUGUGCUCCUAAAGGAUAAAUUAUCACUAGCCUAGAUAUUUACCCAACAAAACUAAAAGGUAUGUCCACAUAAAAAUUACAAAGGAUGUAUUUACAUGCAAGUAAGGAAAUAACAGUCAGUGAAACUUGAAAAGUUCUUAGAACUGA